rnacentral:rRNA from 1 species
CAAUAGCGUAUAUUAAAGUUGUUGCAGUUAAAAAGCUCGUAGUUGGAUUUGUGGCGUACGGUGUGUUCCGGGCACUUGUUGUCUGAGUAACCUGCUGUUGCCAUCCUUGGGUGGAACCUGUGUGGCAUUAGGUUGUCGUGCAGGGGAUGCCCAUCAUUUACUGUGAAAAAAUUAGAGUGUUCAAAGCAGGCUUAUGCCGUUGAAUAUAUUAGCAUGGAAUAAUGAGAUAGGACUUUUUUGCUAUCUUGUUGGUUUGCGCAAGAAGGUAAUGAUUAAUAGGGACAGUUGGGGGUAUUCGUAUUCCAUUGUCAGAGGUGAAAUUCUUGGAUUUUUGGAAGACGAACUACUGCGAAAGCAUUUACCAAGGAUGUUUUCAUUAA